UACGUAGGGACCGAGCGUUGUCCGGAAUCAUUGGGCGUAAAGAGCGUGUAGGCGGCCAGUUAAGUCCUGCGUGAAAUCUCGGGGCUCAACCCCGAGCGGUCGUGGGAAACUGGUUGGCUAGAGUGCGGGAGAGGAGAGUGGAAUUCCUGGUGUAGCGGUGAAAUGCGCAGAUAUCAGGAAGAACACCCGUGGCGAAGGCGGCUCUCUGGAACGCAACUGACGCUGAGACGCGAAAGCGUGGGGAGCAAACAGG
rnacentral:rRNA from 1 species